UUUCCGUAGGUGAACCUGCGGAAGGAUCAUUCAUAAUAAAGUGUUUUAUGGCACUUUUUAAAAAUCCAUAUCCACCUUGUGUGCAAAGUUAGAUCUCGUCAAUCUAGGCGAGAUUUUUAUACAUCAACUCAUUCUUUAACUAUUUUGUCUGAUAAAUAUUAUGAAUACUUAGUUCAAAAUACAACUUUCAACAACGGAUCUCUUGGCUCUC
rnacentral:misc_RNA from 1 species